rnacentral:lncRNA from 10 species
UAUACAACUUGUGAGGUUAUACUUGUUUUCAGCUACUUUUCUAUAGGGAUUGUGGGAGAUGGGUGCUGAGAGGGGUGUUUGCCUGUGCUGUGGGGAUCCCCGUUCUUCCAGGGUCUUGGCAGCCUCCUGCAACAAACUUGCUGGGGCCUGCUGUGUGUACACACUGUAUCAGGCUGGGUGUACCUCGUUAAGCACAUAGGUGGUAAAAUAAGUACCACGGUAAAAUUAUGGCUUAGGGCUCAGGGUAAAAUUAUAAAAAAGGAACAGAUUACAUCCCACUGUGGGCAAUAAGAAACACUUUCUGCAGGAUUCUGAGAUGGGCCUGGAAGAAUGGAUGAUAUUUCAACAGGGGGUAAUGAGGAAAUGCAGUUUCGGUGUGGGCACCUGAACGGACAAAAGGACAGGUGUCAUGGAAAACAGGUUCUGGGAAACCUGCAUCACCUAAUUCACUGGAGAGGGAUAAUAGUGAUGCUAUAAAUAGCAAAUGAAGUCAGUUGGGCUCUUAUAUGUGUUGAGCACCACCAUCCAUCUGAAUAGUUGCUUAAGCCAGAAACUGGGGAGUGGCCCCAGCUGCUUCUUCCUUCCCUUCAUCCAGAAAGUUAGCAGUUCCUGGAUUUUCCUCCUCUAGAAUGUCCCUCAAACCUGUCCUCUUUUGUCUUUUCUCAUGUCUGCCACACUUGUCUUAGUCAUUAGCGAAAUAUCCACAUUUUAUACUUCUGUUUUGAAACUGACGGAAUUGUCCCAGAAAACUGAUGUUUAUGGUUUCUUUUAAAUAAGUACAGAAAUUUACCCUCCCAGUCUUAAAUCUUGAGAAAGUUACAUUUAUCUUAUCUGAGUUCCUUUUUCAGGAAACCAAUCAUCAGUCCUCCCAGUCUUAAAUCUUGAGAAAGUUACAUUUAUCUUAUCUGAGUUCCUUUUUCAGGAAACCAACCAUCAGUCCUCCCAGAUAGUAUCAAGGAACUGAAACUUUCCAGAUCACAGCAUCAGGACAGUGAGACACCACACCCCUCACCCAACAUGAUUGCCUAGCCCACCACCUACUGCCUGUUGGCUAACUCCUCUUCCUUACCCUUUCCUGGUCUUGUUUUCCCACAUGUCAUUACGUUUCUUUCCUGCUGUGUAAAUCCUUAAUUUUAGUUGGCUUAGGAGAUGGAUUUGAGACUGAUCUCCCAUUCUCCUCUGCCGCAGUACCCGAAUAAAGCCUGGCAAUACUCUUUGUCCUAGUAAUUGGCCUCCUGUGCGGCAGCAGUGACACCUAUCUGUACCAUACCUUUGACGCUUUGGGGGCAGUUCUGUGAAGGUGGGAAAAUUGAUUGUGGAAUAAAGUGAUACAUUUGGUUUGGGGCAUGUUUCUAUCUUAUUAAUAGUAUAUUUUUCCUCAUAGAGAUGUCUACUACACAGUUAGAAAUAAAGGCCUAAGCUGGGCAUCAUUGCCCUUGCCUGCAAUCCCAGCUACUAGGUAGGUUGAGGUGGAAAGAUCGCUCGAGGCCAGGAUUUUGAGACUGUAGUGUGCAAUGAGCAUGCCUGUGAAUAGCCACUGCGCUCUAGCCGGGCAAUAAUAAUAUUAAUAUAUAGAUGCCCUGUCUUUAAAAAAAUAUAGAAAAGAAAAGAAA